UCUGAAGAUUAGAGCAAAGCAAAACAAAUGUGUGAGUUAUUUCCCGGAUCAAAAGUUUCAAUCAUCUCUUGGGCUCACUUCUUAGGUGUUUGGAUAUCUGUAAAUGAUAAACAAGAUGGCAAACAAAUAAAAAAAAAUCCAGAAUGUGAGGCUUUCAGGUGAAAUGGUCUUUAACCAUGUUUCUGGCUACAGCCGUCAUCAAAAGAAUUUCUAUCAGCAGGGGGAGCAGAGCUUAACAUUAAGACGAAGGUGCAUUUGCAAAGUCGUUUCUUUCAUUAAUUCCAUUUUACAGAUGAGGAAAUUGAGGGCAGGUAAUUUGCCCAAGGUACCAAGCAAGUACACGCUGGACCACUAUUUUGAACCAGGGCCGUCCAGGUCCCCGUGUCACCAAGAUUCAGAGGAAAACUGGCCCACUUUGAGCUGCCAGACACAGAAACUUCCCUGAAGAUAUGGCUCUUGCUCUAUGGAAAAUAUGUCAGGCUGACUCAGUUUCUCUAGCACAAGUGAAAACGAGCUGGUUAGAACAGACCGGUUUGAAGCAAGUGCACAAUUCUUUGCCUUCAGAUGAGGAAACACAGGCUCUUAGAUAUUAAGUAACCAGCCAAGAAGAUACAGCUAGUAAAUGAUGGAGCAGAAUUGAAAUCCAAGCCCCCUUGACACCAUGGUUCACACCCGUAAUCACUGCACCCUACUUGUACAACUCAUGUGGAGUGGCUCCAGCAUGAAUUUUGGAGUUUGGGAGCUGGAUAGCCCCAGAGUCACAUUCUCGCUUUACUACUCAGUUGGACCACGUAACCAACCUUUCUAAACGUUGGUCUCUUCAUCUGCAAAAGGUAGGAACCUUAAUGCUUAGCUUUCAGGGCUGUGAGUAAAGAAGUACUUUUGUAACCAUAUUGCAUCCAAAGACCUGGUUCAGUCUCAGAACCGGAAUCCCUUUGCACAGCAGGAACACAAAGCUCUUACAAUAAUAAAUGCUGUUGUGUUUUGUUUCACUUACAAAGCCUCUAGCCCAUGGUACACAUGCAAUAAGUAUGUAGCUAUUCGAAUUCUUGUUUUUAAAUAUACUUUCAAGUUACAUCUUUAAAUAACUAACUCAAUUUAUCUGAUUGAAAUGUUACUUAAAUCAAGCUCCUUCUCUACCCCGCCCUCCACGUUUUAAAAGACUCUCAGUCGUUUCUCCUCAUUUGUACUGAAACAGAGUGAGAUGUAUAGCAGAAGCACGAUCUCAGCUGCAAGCUACGUCCCUCAAAAUUUUAGAUUGACUUGUACAUAUUUAGAAAUCUGAAUACAUAAACCCCCAGGACCAAGAUGCUCCUGGAAAAGAAGUCAAGAGGUGAGGCCCACCUACUGGCCUGGUUUGAGUACAAGGACAACCUCAGGGUUGGAGAGGAAAUGGAUCUGUGCCACACAGAUUUUCCACUGACCCAGCUCAUGGGAAUUUCUGUCCGAUUUGACACAGCAGUCCCUACUUCUUCCUUCUUCCAAGAUUUUCCCGUAUAAGACUCUUGUCUUGCUAUAAUUUAACCUUCACACAGCAGCCGGAAGGGUCUCUCUGAAAUGUAAAUCAGAUCCUGCCGACUGCCCUGCCCUAUUUAAAACUUCCAACAGCUACCCACUGCAUGGUUAAAAUCCAAACCCUUUAUCAUGGCUUACAAGAUCCUUACGGAAGUUGCCCCUGACUACCUCUUUAAACUCAUUUCUUUCCACCUGUCACUUCAUUGUGACACUCCAGCUACAAUGGCCUUCUAUCAUUCCUGCCUCAGGGCAUUUGCCCUUGGUGUUCCUUCUUCCUAGAACACCACCUUAGCUAAAACAGCCUUCCCAGAAACUCUUAUUACACUAUCCUAGGCCAUCUGUCUUCAUAGUACUUACCAGCACGGGAAAUUAGCUUGUUGGAAUAUAAGCUCUAGUAUCGGGAAUGGUAGCUGGUAAAUAGUAGGUUCUCACUGUUCUCUGCACCCAUCCUCCUCCCUCCCCUGCCAGUUUCCAAUCCCUGCUCUAUACCCUGGAUUUCAGCACAGCUCUGCCCAUCUUGGCUUGGUAACCCAUUUGGAUUUCAUUGUCUGUUUUUCUGACCUCAGCCCCGUUGACUCUUUUGACUCCAUUUGACUCCCGGUCCUUCAGAUUCCUUGGAUUUCAGAAUCAUUCAGAAUGUUGCUUGAGAAACACUUCUGCCAUCCUAGCCUGGCCCCAAGCCCAUUUCUCAGUGAAAGAGCUCCGUCUGCUAGCUCAUGUGGGAGCAGCCAUCUACACUGGCUCUCAGGACUAUAGAAGUCUUCACCCGAAGAGGCCCACUUUGACCACUGGACCUUGAAGCAGUUCAAGUAAAAACAGAAACACACGCUAUUCCAAAGGAGGCAAGAUCCCUUCUCAGUGACUUUCUUCGUAUCAGGCAGCCCAAACCACUGGGCUAUCCAGAAAAUAGGACUGUCAGGAUGUGACUGAAGCUUGUCUGACCAGACCAAUUGUCUGGCCCUGGAACAAUGCUUCCAUCUCAUUCUGGGGGUGGCCAUCAUGAGACAGUCUAUCACACAUGGUAUCACACAAUGAUUCCCUGCUACACGCAGAAAGCCACAACCGAACUCCAUGACCUAAACUCCAUGAUCCAUACUAGGUGUCAGAUAUUUUAUGGUCAUGCUUCCACUUAAUUUUCACAAUAAAAUUAAGGUAGAUGAUUAUCCCCAUUUAACAGAUAAGAAAAUCAAGGCUCGGAGACAGGUAAAGUCACUUGCUCAAGGUCAUGUAACAAAUGAGUGGGAGAACCUGAAUUUCUGAUUCCAAAGUUCAUGCUCACAAUCCCAACCCUCUAAGUAUUCAAUCAUGGAUCUCUUCUCACACACACACACACACAAUUAUAUACUCCUCAAGAGCCGGAAUUUAUUUCCUGUUCAUCAUUCACAUAACACAGGGACUGACCCUUAGCGAAUGGUCAGCAUAUUUUGCAAAUGCGAUCCUGAUACUAUUGCAUUAAUGUUAUAAUUUAUAUAUACUAUAAUUAAUAGAUUAAUAUAAACAUGCAUGGCCAUAACACUCCACUGUUAGCUUUCCUAGUCCCUGCCACUGGUCAUUUGGACUACUUCUAAUUUUCAGUUUUACUGUCCAAUACAGUAACUUGCUCUUACUAGAACAUGGCGUGGGAGGGAGGAGUAGAAGAUGAACGUAAUAAAGGAAAAAUAACCCUGCAUCUUUCAUGGGACCAUUCAGAGGGAAUCCAAUUAAGUAACAGACUAAUUACACAAAAUAGAGAAAUAAUUCUGGGAUUAUGAUAAUAAAAUUGCCAGGCUUUUCUAGUAAUCUUCAAUACCACAAAUUUCAUUAGAAAAGCAGAUGUGUUUAUUAUAUUGUAGAAUACCCAAUACUAUCCUCGUUAGGCAAGAUUCAAAAUGUUUUCAAAACUGAAUACUGGUGUACAAAACAGAAGUGUCAAAAUUCUAUAAGGGAAAAAAUGUGUGGCUAUCUUUUAGCACACUGAAUUUGGUUAGUCACGUGCCAGAAGUAUUAAAAUAUAUAUACAGCACUUUUGGUCUGCGGUUUCUGGUUCACAUUUUUAAUCUGGUUUCCUGAGUGCUUUUGUUGAACAACCCUCAGGUACCCUCUAGUGGAUGAGACGAAGAAUGGCUUGGGGCCAAAGACACCAUUUGUUACCCGUUUGUGUGUUAUAUGCCUAAAAGUAAUCAUAACUUGCACUUCUAGACCUAUGUGAAGGAUAUAGGAAUAGUGAUUAUUUUAAAAGAAAUACUUCAUAUACUUAAGCCAUUCCUAAUGGCAGACUUUACUUUUAGAUUUAUUAGCAUUAAUAGUUUUUGGUCUGCCGGUUUAUUUUAUCUUAAAUAACUGUUACUUUUCCCAGUCUCCUUUGAAACAUGAGCAGAAAAUUAAUAGGAUGGUUUUAAUCAUCUUAAAUAGGUCAUUAAAUAUCUUUUCAAAGAACCCAUAGGUAGGUUAAAGAAAGUUGUUAAUUUUUACCCCAAUGCAGGGAAUUCUAAAAGGAACGAUAUAACCCAGUAAUAAUUUCUGCCUUAAGGAGACUCCAAAAUGGCAUAAGCAGAGAUCACCAUUUUCCAAAUGUGGUCUGUGAGAUACUAGCUCCCCGAUGCAUUGAUGGGGAGGGGACGUGUCUUUUAGCUGAAAGACAUUUCAGAAGAUUAACUCACUUCCCUUGUUUUCUUUCUAUGCUCAGCUCAUAAAUUUCUGAUAAUUUGCCUUUCUGUGCUACUUGCUCGUGGGAAAGGAACGCAGUGGGCCAUGAAACACAAGCUUUUCAGGCAGCUUUACAGGUUAUCAUUGUGAACUUAAUUGUCGGCAUUCCUAUUUACGUAGACAUAACUACACAUGUGUUCCUGUAUAUGUAUAGUUAUUUGCUAGCUAGUUAGUGGAUACAGUCAUAGCAAACAUAUGAAACUCAACGCUUUGGGGGGCCGGGUUGGGGGUACGAAUGCAUUUCACUUUCAAAGCCAUACCUUCCCUCAUAUUAAAAAAUUUUACAACAUGCAUGUUUAACUUCUGUAAGUGGAAAUAUGGAUACACACACACUAAUCAUUCUAUUCAAUUGUAGAAGCUGAGAGAGAAAAACAUUUCGCUAGCAAUGGCCCCAAAUGCACCUCUGGAGCUCCACGUGCCCAGCCUCACUCACUCUCUCCUAAGCACAGCCCACCCACCUACCUUCCGUGUUCUCUCCAAAAAUCUCCUGUGUUUGUUUAUACCCAAAAGGCAAGACCUGGCUAGAUGGCCCUUGCCUCGUUCUUGGAGCUGAAGUUUAGAGCGCCCCCUUGAGGCUUAAAGACUACACAGUGCAACCCAGUGCGACCCAGCUGUGGUUGUUUCAGAAGACGCCACCCAACAAAGGGAGUUGGUGUCACAGCUGAGACCAAGACAGUCCCUUGAGACUGUCUUGUCACUGCUGACGUUGUUCUUCCCAGCAACCUUCAAGCCCUCUGUAGUAAGAGUUUCUCUCGCUGAAAAAUGUAAAGGUCAUCCUCACCAGACUCAAAAUUUCUACUUGCGCGCUCUCUCUCAAUCCCUCUCCCUCUCUCUCUUCUCCUCCCCCACCCCCUUUCCCUGUUUUUCUCUGAGCUCAUGCACACGCACCCACACACACACCACCGGCGUCCGGUAUUGUAAGUUCACCCCCCAAUUACAGCUGCACUCUCUGGGUGCUGACAAAGUUAGGUUUCUGCAUCAGUAGAAUGAAGACCAGGUCCCAGGUCAAGAUGAACUCAUUAGAAUAAGUGCCAUCCCAUGGAGCUCUGUCUAGAGGCUGAGCCAGUUCCGCUUGUGACACCCUGUCUGCCUCGUUUUCUGCUUUCUUCAAAGUGAAACAAGAACCUAAUCUCCACGAUGUAACGACACGUCAACAUUUAUUGAACGUUUAACAUAAGCCAGGAAACGUUCUCUGUGUCUUAUUUUUAUUUAUUAUCUCAUUGAAUCCUCACAACAACCCCUGAAGUAGUACUAUUCUUCUCCCCAUGUUAUAGACGAGAAGACUGACGGGCCCAGAGCUUAAAUAACUGGUCCAGAGCAAUACUAAUGAAUGCUCAGCGUCUGGCAAGAAAGGCACAUGAAAUUUAUAUGGUGUGACUCUGUUGGAAAUAUUUAACCGAGGGCUCUUCCGUCUGCAUCUAGGAUAGGCUCACCUCAGGAUUUUUGCACCGGGAUGCUUGUGCUUGCUUCUUAGAUGGCCAGAGUGCCAGAAGUUGUUGAUGCUAUAUUUUCCCUCCAGGUUUCUUUGGGGGGAAAUGUUAUUUUAUGGUAAGACCAACGGGUAUAUUAAGGAGUAUAAUGCAAAAUUUUGGAGUUUUUUUAAAGAUAAAAUGCAAAAAAAGAUCAAAUACAACUAAAAGCAUCCCUCUAGUGAAGGGCUGCAACACUGAAUCUUCUAGGUUUAUGCUUCUCACGCUUUACGGUCCCUGUGUCUCACCCGUGGGUAGGGUUGGCUCCAUGGGUGUGAGACCUGGGUAGUCCCACCCACAUUCGGUUUAAUGCUCUCCUGCCACCAUCUUGAAAUGCUUACUGAUUUUUAAACUGAGGGCUUCGCAUUUUCAUUUUGCAUUGGGCCCUACCAAUUAUCUAGCUGGUGCUGUCUGAGGAUCUUGCUAAAACGCAGAUCUUGAUUUGGCAUGUCUGGGGUAGGGCUGAGGUUCUGCAGUUCUCACAGACUCCCAGGUAAUGCCUGCUGCUGGUCCGAGGACCACACUUUGAGUGGCAAGACCCAGCCUUUCACUAUAUCCCACAGUUUGUGAUACGUAACUGGGAAAGUCCGAGAAGCCGUGGAGAAGGGGGACAGUGAAAUCCUAGAAGUCAAAUUCAUAGUCAUUAAAAGCAUGGGUCUUUCCUGCCACCUACUCUGUAUGAUUCCACAAAUUACUUUAUCCUCCUUACGGUUUAGUUUUCCCAUCAGCAAGAUGAGCAAUCACCUCAGAGGAUAGUUGUGGAGAUUAAGUGUAUGAGACAUCUCACAUUCAGAGUUCAAUAGAGAUAACUGCCCGAAUGCUGUAAAUAGUAACUACGCGUAAGACCACGAUGGAAAAGAAAACUUGCAGGAUGUCUCUUUCUCCAUAUUAAUGACGCCUCCCACUUUCCAGUCUCUCCUCCUUGCAUCCAGGCAAAUACUCUUGGGGGAAGCAAUUUUGUUAAGGAAAUAUUAUAUAAACAUUGCUUAUUCUUUAUGGGAACCUACCUUGCUAUCGGUCUUGGGAAAUGCUAUCGGUCACAAGACUGUAAAUACUCUAUCAGUUUGCUAGAACUGCCAUAAUAAAGUACCACGGACUGGGUGGCUUAAAUAAUAGACAUUUAUUUUCUCACAGUUCUGGCAGCCAAAGGUCCAAGAUCAAGGUGUGCACAGGGUUGGUUUCUUCUGGGCCUCUUCCCUUGGCUUAUAGAUGGUCUCCAUCUUCCUUUGUCUUCACAUGGUCUUUCCUUCUGUGAAUGUCCGUGUCCCAACUUCCUUUUUGUAUAAGGACAUCAGCCAUAUUGAAUUAGGACUCACCCAUAGGGCCUCAUUUUACCUUAAUCACCUCUUUCAUGUCUCUACCCUCGACUAUGGUCACAUUCUGAGGUCCUGGAGGUUAGGGUUGGUUUAUAGACUUUGGGCCACAACAGAUACAGAGGACAAAACCAAGCAGAAGUAACAUGUGUCAGUGGGUCCAUAUGCAGCCCAUUCCUGAUUUCAGCAUUCACUGCAAAGUAUCCUUCAUUCUUCAGCGAAUAUUAUGCACUGAGGAUGAGGACCCCCUCCCUGGCCAGGAGGCGGGGGCAGCAUGCAUGGGGGGCUUUCAAGUCCAACAGAGCUGGCUCUGAAUCUCUGCUGUGUUACUGACCACCAAAAACCUGGGCAAGUUACUUCAUGUGGCUGGGUCUUAGCGUUCUUUCCUAUAAAAUGAGGAUCCCAAUAAUGCCUGCCUUAUAGGGGUAUUGUAAAGAUGAAAAGCAGAUCUUUUCUUUCUUAUUUAGCAAAAGAAAUUGCCGGCAGUUUGGCACUGGUUACCUUAAAAGAAGUCUUUAGAGCCUUCCCUACCUAAGGAAACUCUGAGUGGGCCUCCUGUGUAACUGAGUGAAGGCCCCCUCCUUGUAUGCAAGAUUCUGGGGAGUGUUAGGGACCAGUUUGCAGAGUGAGCCCAGGGAUCUUCUGGGAGAGAACAGACUGAUUCCUAUCCCCAAACCUUCCCUCUGAGAGCUCAAGCUGGAGGUGGUAUAUGAAGGUGAAUGCAGGCAACUCAGAAAAGGAUCCAGAAAGGCAAUGGGUCCAACUGAGUCAAGAGAUGUGGGACUUAUGACCUGCCUUGGCAAUAAACCUCGAAAGGAGAGUAUCAGAUGGGGAUUCUGGGUCUGUUAAGUGUCUGUGCUAUGAUGGGUUCUGCCUGUCCCUCAAGGCUGGUAUAUUUUAAGAACGAUAACCCUGGAGGUAUAGCUGUAUUGGGAAAAACAAGGGUGUCUCAACUGAACGUAACCCAGACGCCUCCCAUUCCCUUGAAAAACUGCCAGGGGGGACCAGGGUUGGUGAGCUGAGGCCCCGCCUCUGCAGCAUCUCAAGCAAGGAUUGGACAGUGUGUCGGUUCUGCUGCUACCAUCUCACGAGGUUCUUGAGAAGCUGAGUCCCAUCCUCACUAUCCCUGAGUAGCCUGGCUUCUUGUGGAUGCAGCUCCAUGGGGGAACACAAUGAGAAUCGAGGAUGAUCUGGCUCUGAGUCUCCUUAGGGAGUGUUGUCCUGGGGGUGCGCCGCCCAUCCUCAAAGAAUCCCUUCUCUCUUCCUGCGGGAGAUUCCACUCCAGUGACUGGGGCUCAAGAGCAGAGAACAGGAGCCGAACUCCCAUGCUUUGGCCACCAUGACCAGCUUCCGAUGCACUCAGUACCCUUCAUGCAGUCAAUCCAUUGAAAUAGGACCAAACCCGUCUGAACUUCUUGCCACAGGACAUAUGUCAGGGCUCCUGGACACCUAAAAGAAAGGCAGAUGGAGCCCUGGGCCAAGUCCAUAGGACUUCUGAACUUCCGGCUCCUACCAGCAGGUGGGGCCGCAAGCAGUGCAAUCUGGGAACUGAGACCUUCGUAUCCAGUAAGAGGAAACGCUCAGACAGGGAGUAAAAUCUCUAACAUACAGUAAGUACCUUUAAAAAAAAUGGUAGGUAGUAUUAUGGGAAAGGUGAUUACUCACAUAAUACCACCACCACCACCAUCCCCAUUAUGUUUUCACAGAAUGGAAAGAAGAGAAGGAAUUUCCCCCCACUAGCAGAAGAAUGAAACUCCAGUCAGGAAUAUCAUUUUUCCUCCACCUUAAAGGAUUGAGUGGAUGGUAUGAAAAGUCUUUAAGUACCCUCCCUUUCCUUGUCACCUCGCCUUCUACCCUUACUCCUUAACAUUCAGUCGCCUACUGUAGCUAUAACCAUAGCAACCCAGCUGGUGGGAAAUGAUGGGAACUCCUACUCAUUCUUAUAGAGUCAGGUAAGUCUUCACCUUAUCCGUGAAGCCUCCUUCAAUCCUCACUUCAGCCUCAGAGGAGACCAUCUCACAGCUACUGCGGCAUGGCUGGCCCUUGCACACCUGUAUGGGAACAUUUAUUGCAUGCAUUCAAAACCCUGCUUGCUUGCUUGCUUGUCUCUGUCACAACACCAUGACCUUUUUGGGCAUAUUUGCACGCCCACUGCUUGGAUUAGUGCCUGGCGCAUAGAAGCUGCUCAGUGCGUUUCAUGAAUGUCGGAAGUGUAAGGGAGGUGUGUAGGAGAGUGCACUGAAUUGCCUUCGGAGGAGGUGGGAGGCAGGUUGUCGCAGGAAUGGAGUCAAGCCAGAGUGGCCUAAGGGGCACUAACAGCUAACAACUAGGGGCACUAAGGGAGGAGAUGGGAAGCAUGUCCUCAGCCAGCACUCAGGCUGCCAAGGGGAGCAAUGGUAGCUAAGAAACUAGAGAAAAGCAAUGGGGAUAGGAACAGAAUAGAGGUAGCGGGAUCGCUCGGGGAGAGAGAAAUGAAGUCCAGAUCAGCGUGCAGCCCUUGCAACAGGUUAGGACAAGGGAUUCAAGACUGAGACUUGGUGGGAGGGGGCUCGAGUCCUGUUUUCAUUUAUUUAUUUUUAAUUUAUUUAUUUAAACUCAAAGUUAGUUAACGUAUAGUAUAGUAUUGGUUUCAGGAGUAUCAAGUCCUAUUUUUAAG